AUGCUAAUCUGGCUGAGGAAUUUACUUUUACUGGCAGUAGUUCUUGAGUGCAAUACACAGGAUUCUGUCAAUCAGCCAACAAGAGUUCAAACAGCUUCUGAACAUGAGAUGGUUAAACUUCACUGCACUUACAGUACCAGUGAUUCAUACCCUUAUCUUUACUGGUACCAACAUAAAACCAAUGGAUUCCUAGUUUACAUGCUCCGUAAACUCUCGACCGGAUCAAGCAGCAGUGAAAAAGAAUUUGAGGAAAGAUUUCAUGCAGAUCUCAACAAAUCCUCAAGUUCAGUUUCUCUGUCAAUCCAGGAUGUGCGUGUGUCUGACUCUGCUGUUUACCACUGUGCUCUGCAGCCCACAGUGACUGAAACACAUACACAUCCUGACAAGAUCUAA